rnacentral:misc_RNA from 1 species
GGUAUAUUGUUUGGAAUCAAUUACAAGUAGAUUAUAUGAGUAUGACUCAACAAAUGCAGCCUUCCCUAAACUCACAAAAAUGUUAGUGCAAGAAGAGGAACUGAAUGAUAUACAACAUCAAUAAGUUCAAAGUUUUAUCUAUAGCAAAAUAUAACACUACAGUAACACGAUCUCACCCUUGCUGCUGGAAUUUGACAUGCUGAUUUUUCAUCAUUGUUGCCAAGUAUGUUGUUAAAUGUAAAUCUGAUCCUACCAAUGAGAGGGGCAUUCAAUAAUCCGAUACUCGUUGAGAACAAAGCUUGGCAUAGCCUUAUAAACGACAUACACCUCUCCACCUAUAUAUUAAUUUAAAUUUUAAACUUUUUGGUCGAUGUUCUGACAAAUAUCAAGGUAAUAAAACACUUUUUGUAUCUGAAUAAGUAAUUAUGAUAAUCUACAUGGCUUAAACUAUAAUCAUCGCUAAUUUAGAUGGUAAUUUAGAAAUAUGCAACAGGAAAGAGUCCAAGAAUAACAA